CCUAGUUCUGUUUAUGUCAUUCAGGAGGCAAAGCUCCUUCCAAACAUCUAGAAACUGAUCUCAAUGCCUAGUGAAGAAAAACCUGAAGAAAGUAUGGUGCAACAAAUAGAUGGAAAAAAAACCCCACAUCUCAAGACUGAUGUGUCCAGUGAUCUAAAAUGUGAGAAACAGCUGAGGAUUUUCAUUAAACUGAAGGAGCUGAAGACCAGGAUAGCUAAACUGGAAAAAGAAAACCAGCAGCUCUGGAAGAAAAACAAGACGUUGCAGGAAAUGCUUGAGAAUCAGUGAAGCGGCCUACUGAACGAAGUAAGAAAAGAUAUACCAGAUUUACUAGAAGUAAUUAAGGAACUGAAGUCAAGCUCUGCUCCUGGUGUGCCAGCUUGUUCAACUCCCCAAGUGAGCAACGUCAGACUACAAGCUCACCCAUAACCACCAUUCAUGAUAAUGAACAACAGACAGUAAAUAUGGUAUGGUUGUUUAAGCAUUACUCUAUAUAUCAUGCCACUUAAUGUGCACAUGGGAAGUCCAGAAUCUGAUGUCUUUUGGUCCCCAGCAGCACAUGGAAAUUAAGUACUGCUUAUAUAAAUGACAAUUGAUAAGACUCUGGUGACUGAAAACUAAUUUACUGUGAUUUGUAAUGGAGUUUCUGACCAGAAUACUUUGUUCUGUCUUGAACGCUAAUACAUAAACUAACUGGCCAAUACAGGCCUUCAGAUAAAAUGUCACUUUCAAGCUGAUCUUUCAGUUUUUCUAGGGAACACUCUGGCCUGGCACUACAAUAACUGAAGCCCAGAAACGCUCCAUGUUGCCAGAUGUUCACUAUAUCACCAGUGAGUAUUUUAUGUAAUGUAUCUGUCACGCGGUGGCAUUGGUCUCCUUGUAAAGCCCCAGUUGAGCACUGUUAUUAUUUUUUGCACAUUAUAAAUAAGUAUGUGUGUGUUUACUUUUUGCACUUUUGUAUAUUUUCUUUAUUCCUUUAUUGAGCACGUUUUAUAAAAGUAUUAUAGUUUUAGAACUCACCUUAUAUUUUGACACAGAGCACUUAUUAGGAUUGUUUGUGUAUGGAGCACGGGCUGUGAGAGGGGAGGCCAUAGGAAAUGGAGGAGCGCGGAGUAAAGGCUGUACAUUGGUGGGGAGGUCUGAGGGGAGGAGUUAUCCUCUUUUAUAAGCAGGUAUGCAACAACAGCAAAAGAGAAGACAGGAGGGAAGACAAGAGAGCAGACAAGAGAAGGAGAGAAGCAACCGCGAGAUAGAAGAAGUACGGAUUGGAAGCAGAGAGCAGGAGGAAGCAGUGUGGGAAAUCCUUUUUCUGGACUUGGACUUGGCUGGAGACGCAAGAGACACUGGAACUAGAUAAAGAGAAAAUCUGCGGUUUAUAAAGGGAAGUGUCCAUCGUGUGCAUGCACAGCCAUUUUAUUCCCAGUUGUAUUUUUGCACUUUCUUUUUAUGCUAGUUUAGCCUGUUUUAUCCUGACUGUUUUAUUAGUAUUUUAACAGUUUUUUAGUGUCUAGAGAGAGAGAACGCUUUUAUUGGGAUUUUAGCACAGGUUUUAAACAAGGCAUUUUAAUUGAGUCUGUUUUAGACGGCCAUUUUAGUGUCAAUUUGGCAAACAGGGAAGAAGAGGUGGCAAGGGAUUUAUCGUUUCUAAAGCUUUUUACCAGCGUUGUUGUUUCUCUGCCCCUCCCUGAUAGGUGCAGUGGAGGAGCCUCAGGGACUGCUGGACCCCACCACUGCACUGACACUAUGCACCCAGGAGGAUUGGCAUAGUCGGACUACAUAUAUAUUUUCACUGCCUUGCCAUUAACUUGUAUCAUGACAUACCCCACCUGUUAAACUUGUCUGUUUUUCUCUUUCUAUUCAGCUAAAGUUGCUUGUGACUACAGUGGUUAUGAAAACAACCUACAGAUUGUUGGCAACUCAGAAAAAUUUGAUUUCAGGCAGGAGUCCAAUGUAAAGGCCUGUAUAACCCAACUUCUUAAUACUGAAGGAAAACGGGUGAAGGACACCACCAUGGCUUAACAAUCAGCUUUCAUUCUGAAUUUGAUGAUUUGUUUAAAGCUGUUAUUUGCAUAGCUGAAUUUAAAAAAAUGUACAAUUUUGGUUCCCCAGAGUUCUCUGAAGCCACAGUCUUUUAAUUUACAAGCCAGUUUUCCAGCGUUGUACCGUAGUGUAAGUCAUAUUUCAUGUUAAAGUUAUUUAAUGUUCAUAUUUCAUGUUCUGUUUCAAUGUGCUGUAUUGAAAUACAUUUUUUUUUUUUUUUGACUGACACAUUUAUGAUGCGUUUUUGUCUACAGACCUAGGAUUCUGUAGAUAGUACCUAUGGAAUUCUGUAGGGUUCUGUAGAACUAUAGGAUUCCAUAGAUAUUCCUAUAGGAGUGUACUGUAAAACAAGAACAUUUCGUUCGCAAGAAAUGUUUGCUAAUUUUGUGUUUUAUUAAAUAUCCGCAAAAUGAAUGUGCCGUGAAAUAUAUUAUUCAUACACGUGCCGUACAUUAAAAGAAAAAGAAGC